rnacentral:rRNA from 1 species
UAGGGAAUAUUGGACAAUGGGCGCAAGCCUGAUCCAGCCAUGCCGCGUGCAGGAAGAAGGCCUUCUGGGUUGUAAACUGCUUUUGCCAGGGGAUAAAAAGUCCCUGCGGGGAAAAUUGAAGGUACCUGGUGAAUAAGCCACGGCUAACUACGUGCCAGCAGCCGCGGUAAUACGUAGGUGGCAAGCGUUGUCCGGAUUUAUUGGGUUUAAAGGGUGCGUAGGCGGUGUCCUAAGUCAGUUGUGAAAUACGGCAGCUUAACUGUCGAGGUGCAAUUGAUACUGGGAUACUUGAGUACUGAUGAGGUAUGCGGAAUGGACGGUGUAGCGGUGAAAUGCUUAGAUAUCGUCCAGAACACCGAUAGCGAAGGCAGCAUACUAAGGAGUAACUGACGCUGAGGCACGAAAGUGUGGGGAUCAAACAGG